CGCCGUGUGUGUGUGUGUGUGUAGGAGGAGGUGAAGCUCCUGGCUGUGCAUCAGGCUGGAUGCAUCAGGCUGGAUGCUCAGCUCCCACUCUAUGGUUUGACCAGGAUCAAGUUGAUUUUUGGAUAGAGUUGCCAAUAUCCCAUCUUGCAAUUGAGGCUCGAAGAUAGAAGAUUAAAUCAUGGGCGUACGACUCCAACCAGGUUGUGAAGGGUGAACUGUAAGGAAUGAACCAACCAGUGAGUCCUGAGCACAUUGUUGAAGAUGUUAUGAUGAAUUCAGGAGAUCUUUACACUUACAGUGAUGGGAAAAUACUCAGCAGUGAAUACUUGGGCUAUCAGUUGAACAUUGAGAAGCAGAAUGUAGGACUUGCUCUUUGUGAAGCGUGCAACAUUCAGCUGAACUCGGCAGCACAGGCUGAGGUUCAUUACAAUGGGAGGUCUCACCUGAAGAGGAUAAAACAAGUCAACAGCCAUGUUCCAGUUACUUCAUCUCCAAGUACGUUUGUCACUGGCACCAAUACAGGUAUGGGUGACAAUUAACAUGGACCGCUGAUGUUGAAUUUAAAUUCUUUAAUAUGAUGUUGGAUAAUCCAUUCAUUAGAUGCUUUUGUCUGAGCCAUUGUUCUGUUCAUUAAUUUUUUAAAUUUGUUAUCUGUUAAUAUUUUUUCUGUUAUGCUGUU